AACGCGAAGAACCUUACCUGGGCUCGAAAUGUAGAGGACAAUAACAGAGAUGUUAUUUCCCGCAAGGGCCUUUAUAUAGGUGCUGCAUGGCUGUCGUCAGCUCGUGCCGUGAGGUGUUUGGUUAAGUCCAGCAACGAGCGCAACCCUUAUCGUUAGUUGCCAACGCGUAAAGGCGGGAACUCUAACGAGACUGCCUGGGUUAACCAGGAGGAAGGUGAGGAUGACGUCAAGUCCGCAUGGCCUUUAUGUCCAGGGCUACACACGUGCUACAAUGGUCGGUACAGAAGGCAGCGAAACCGCGAGGUGAAGCAAAUCUUUAAAACCGAUCUCAGUUCAGAUUGUAGUCUGCAACUCGGCUACAUGAAGUUGGAAUUGCUAGUAAUGGCGUGUCAGCAACAACGCCGUGAAUACGUUCCCGGGCCUUGUACACACCGUGUCGA
rnacentral:rRNA from 1 species